ensembl:lincRNA
CUUAAUUUGAAACAAUGUUGUUUGUUUGGGGGACAUCCAGAAAUUUCAGUUUUAAAUAAUGAUAUAUUAGCUGCAGGUGUAACAGUACCUAUGCAUUUAUUGCUUCACAGUCUAGCAGUGUUUGUGAGAAAAACUGGUGGAUCCUGCAGAUUAACUAUGGACAGCCAAAUAUUGAGUAAAGUGAUGUCUACAACAGCAUCAGCUAUGCCUGAUAUGGUGUUAAUUCACAUUGUGAAGUUCCAAAAUCAGAAGAUGAUACAGAAAGAUUGCUCUGGUUGUCUGGUUUCUGAAGAAAUCGUGUACCCUGUCUGGAUAGUGUCUUACUUCCUAUCCACAAAGUUGUGAAAUAAUCUGUAAUUAAAUGGCAACCUAAACAACCCUAGAGUUGCCUGAACACAGAGCCAUUGCUGUGUUGAUCAUUAUAGCAGAUAGAUUUUAAUUUGGCCCCUAA